rnacentral:misc_RNA from 1 species
CCCAAACUUUGCAACAUCGUAACCAUCUAUCAAUAUUUUUCCCGCUUCAAGUUCGACAAUACGAAAUAAAGCAUUUAGCAUGCUUGACUUUCCCGCGCCCGUUCUUCCUACAAUGCCAACCUUGUCACUUGGAAAAACUGUGAAAGAUAGUCCAUGCAAGACUGGAGGGAGCUCAGGUCUAUAACGUAAUACAACAUCCUCAAAUUUUAGAAGUCCAGAAGAAGGCCAUCCAGGAGGGGGGCGGUUGCUUUCAAUAAUUGGUGGAGCUUCUGAAGGUAGAUCUAUGUAGGUCCCAACACGCUCUACGGAAUUUAAACUAUUCUCAGCCAUACUUGCAAGCCUUAGAACAGCUGUCAACAAAGAUGUAAUAUUUAAAGCAUAACUAAGAAGAAGACCCAUGGUGGAUGCAAAAGCCUUCUGGUUUUCUGCCCUGCCAUUUUGCAUCACAGCAAAAGUUGCUGUAAACCAUAUCAUAAGACCACCAACUGCUUCUAGACGGAUUGAAAGCCAUCGAUUUCCACUCAUGUUCACAAGUGUAAAUCUAAUGUUAUUAUCCAUGGCUUUUCCAUUAAUAUCAGCCAUUCUAUCAUAAGCUUUGUACGCACGAAUAGUGGAAAGACCA